rnacentral:rRNA from 1 species
UACGAAGGAUCCAAGCGUUAUCCGGAUUCAUUGGGUUUAAAGGGUGCGUAGGCGGUUUUGUAAGUCAGUGGUGAAAUCUCUCAGCUUAACUGAGAAACUGCCAUUGAUACUGCAGAACUAGAGUACAGAUGACGUUGGCGGAAUGUGUCAUGUAGCGGUGAAAUGCAUAGAUAUGACACAGAACACCGAUUGCGAAGGCAGCUGACGAAACUGCAACUGACGCUGAUGCACGAAAGUGCGGGGAUCAAACAGGAUUAGAAACCCCUGUAGUCC